rnacentral:rRNA from 1 species
UACAGAGGGUGCAAGCGUUGCUCGGAAUCAUUGGGCGUAAAGGGUAGGUAGGUGGUCUCAUUUGUCUGGGGUGAAAGCCUUGAGCUUAACUCAAGAAGUGCCCCGGAAACGGUGAGACUGGAGUCUUGGAGAGGGUCGUGGAAUUCCCGGUGUAGCGGUGAAAUGCGUAGAUAUCAGGAGGAACACCUGUGGUGUAGACGGCUUUCUGGACCAUAGCUGACGCUGAGACACGAAAGCGUGGGUAGCAAACAGG